AACUGAUGAUGUGGGAAUUUACGAAGUAGGUCCCUGAAAUGCUCCUAGGUCUCAAAGAAAGGUUCCCCAUCUGUUUGUGUGAAACUUGUGAUUGCCCUUCGCAGCU